UGUCUCAAAGAUUAAGCCAUGCAUGUCUAAGCAUAAACUGAACUAAAGUGAAGCCGCGAAUAGCUCAUUACAACAGCCGUUGUUUCUUGGAUCUCCGCAAUACUUGGAUAACUGAGGUAAUUCUUGAGCUAAUACACGCAAUCGAGCUCUGACCUAAGGGACGAGCGCAUUUAUUAGAACAAAACCAGUCAGUGCUUGCACUGUGGUUUGGUGAAUCUGAAUAACUGAGCAGAUCGCUUCGGUCUCGUACCGGCGAUGUAUCCUUCAAGUGUCUGCCUUAUCAACUUUCGAUGGUAGUUUAUGUGCCUACCAUGGUUGUAACGGGUAACGGAAAAUCAGGGUUCGAUUCCGGAGAGGGAGCCCUAGAAACAGCUACCACUUCUAAGGAAGGCAGCAGGCGCGCAAAUUACCCACUCUCGGCACGAGGAGGUAGUGACGAAAAAUAACGAGACGGUUCUCUUAUGAGUACCGUCAUCGGAAUGAGAACAAUCUAAACCCUUUAACGAGGACCUAGCGGAGGGCAAGUCUGGUGCCAGCAGCCGCGGUAAUUCCAGCUCCGCCAGUGUAUAUCUAUGCUGCUGCGGUUAAAAAGCUCGUAGUUGGAUCUGCGUGCUAGAGACUGGUCCACCUAUGGGUGUGCACUGGAUCUCAGCACUGAAUCGUUGGUUUUCUCUUUAUGCCUUUAACCGGGUGUACUGGAGUGACUAACAUGUUUACUUUGAAAAAAUUAGAGUGCUUAAAACAAGCGAUUUGCUUGAAUAUUCGUGCAUGGAAUAAUAUAAUAGGACUUUUGUUCUAUUUUGUUGGUUUUCAGAAACGAAAGUAAUGAUUAAGAGGGACAGAUGGGGUCAUUCGUACUGCCACGUUAGAGGUGAAAUUCUUGGAUCGUGGCAAGACGAACUACUGCGAAAGCAUUUGACAAAAAUGUUUUCAUUAAUCAAGAACGAAAGUUAUGGGUUCGAAGGCGAUCAGAUACCGCCCUAGUCAUAACCGUAAACGAUAUAGACUAGGCGUCUGCUCGGGUUUACUUUGACCGAGUAGAAGCCUUCCCGGAAACGAAAGUCUUCGUAUUCCGGGGGAAGUAUAGCUGCAAAGCCGAAACUUAAAGGAAUUGACGGAAGGGCACCACCAGGGGUGGAGCCUGCGGCUUAAUUUGACCCAACACGGGGAAACUCACCCGGCCCGGACACUAGAAGGACGACAGGUUGAGAGCUCUUUCUUGAUUUGGUGGGUGGUGGUGCAUGGCCGUUCUUAGUUGGUGGAGUGAUUUGUCUGGUUAAUUCCGAUAACGAACGAGACUCUGGCCUACUAACUAGUGUACAGAUCAUUAUGUCUGUCAUACUUCUUAGAGGGACAAACGGUGUUCAGCCGUAUGAAAAAGAGCAAUAACAGGUCUGUGAUGCCC
rnacentral:rRNA from 1 species